UACGUAGGGGGCGAGCGUUGUCCGGAAUUACUGGGCGUAAAGGGCGCGCAGGCGGCCGAUCAAGUCAGAUGUGAAACCCCCGGGCUCAACCUGGGAACUGCAUUUGAAACUGGUUGGCUUGAGUGCAGGAGAGGAAAGCGGAAUUCCUAGUGUAGCGGUGAAAUGCGUAGAUAUUAGGAAGAACACCAGUGGCGAAGGCGGCUUUCUGGACUGCAACUGACGCUGAGGCGCGAAAGCGUGGGGAGCGAACAGG
rnacentral:rRNA from 1 species